GUUUCUGUAGUGUAGUGGUCAUCACGUGCGCUCCGCAGGCGCAAGGUCCCCAGUACGAACCUUGGCGAAACA